UGGGGAAUAUUGCACAAUGGGGGAAACCCUUAUGCAGCGACGCCGCGUUAACGAAGAAGGUAUUCGUAUCGUAAAGUUCUUUCCUAUGGGAAGAUAAUGACAGUACCAUAGAAGAAAGCUCCGGCUAAAUACGUUCCAGCACCCGCGGUAAUACGUAUGGAGCGAGCGUUGUCCGGAAUUAUUGGGCGUAAAGGGUACGCAGGCGGUUUAAUAAGUCGAAUGUUAAAGAUCGGGGCUCAACCCCGUAAAGCAUUGGAAACUGAUAAACUUGAGGAGUGGAGAGGAAAGUGGAAUUCCUAGUGUAGUGGUGAAAUACGUAGAUAUUAGGAGGAAUACCAGUAGCGAAGGCGACUUUCUGGACACAAACUGACGCUGAGGUACGAAAGCGUGGGGAGAAAACAGG
rnacentral:rRNA from 1 species